rnacentral:tRNA from 1 species
GAGGGUAUAGCUCAGUGGCAGAGUGCAUGCUUAGCAUGCACGAGAUCCUGGGUUCAAUCCCCAGUCCCUCCA